CACUAAUUAUCUGAUCUACCUGGCUGCUAAUUAGCAUGAGCUGGUUUACUAAAUGGUUGGAUCAAAUACUUGGCAGGACUUUUACUUUCUGAACCCGGGAUGUCCGCCUCUGUGUGUACAUUCAGGCGUUUUC